rnacentral:rRNA from 1 species
GCAGGUUCCCCUACGGCUACCUUGUUACGACUUCACCCCAGUCACGAACCCUGCCGUGGUAAUCGCCCUCCUUGCGGUUAGGCUAACUACUUCUGGCAGAACCCGCUCCCAUGGUGUGACGGGCGGUGUGUACAAGACCCGGGAACGUAUUCACCGCGACAUGCUGAUCCGCGAUUACUAGCGAUUCCGACUUCACGCAGUCGAGUUGCAGACUGCGAUCCGGACUACGAUCGGCUUUCUGAGAUUGGCUCCCCCUCGCGGGUUGGCAACCCUCUGAACCGACCAUUGUAUGACGUGUGAAGCCCUACCCAUAAGGGCCAUGAGGACUUGACGUCAUCCCCACCUUCCUCCGGUUUGUCACCGGCAGUCUCAUUAAAGUGCCCAACU